rnacentral:rRNA from 1 species
GACGAACGCUGGCGGCGUGCUUAACACAUGCAAGUCGAACGGAAAGGCCCUGCUUUUGUGGGGUGCUCGAGUGGCGAACGGGUGAGUAACACGUGAGUAACCUGCCCUUGACUUUGGGAUAACUUCAGGAAACUGGGGCUAAUACAGGAUAGGAGCUCCUGCUGCAUGGUGGGGGUUGGAAAGUUUCGGCGGUUGGGGAUGGACUCGCGGCUUAUCAGCUUGUUGGUGGGGUAGUGGCUUACCAAGGCUUUGACGGGUAGCCGGCCUGAGAGGGUGACCGGCCACAUUGGGACUGAGAUACGGCCCAGACUCCUACGGGAGGCAGCAGUGGGGAAUAUUGCACAAUGGGCGGAAGCCUGAUGCAGCAACGCUGCGUGCGGGAUGACGGCCUUCGGGCUGUAAACCGCUUUCGCCUGUGACGAAGCGUGAGUGACGGUAAUGGGUAAAGAAGCACCGGCUAACUACGUG